rnacentral:lncRNA from 1 species
AUGGCCUGUCCUCCAGGCACCAUACAAAUUUGGGAGGAAAUAAGAGAGGUUUUAGAUCCACAACACACUUUCGAAUUAAUCUCGGUAGCCUCUCAUGAAUCCCUCCCUGAAAAUGAUGUUCAGACUUCUUCAGAGGAACAAAAAGAGAAUAACAAAUUGAUGAUUGAGUCACCAUCACCACCAGGGCAGAUAUCGCCCUCUCAAUUGCCUCCCCGACAAAAACUGCAAAAGGAAACCAUAAAUAUGCCUCAGACGAGCAUCCCUAUGGCACCACCUUUACUUGAAACCGGAGGAGAUGAAAUUGAAGGAGAUGAGGUAUAUUUAGAUGAUGAUAAGGAAAUAUUUUUUUCAUCUUCGGCUCUAGGGCCGUCAGGGCCCCCCUCCAAACAGGAAUCUUAUGAGCAACUCUGCGCUCCUAAUCAUGAUAUUGAUCCCUUUCCAGGCAUGAGCAAAAAAAUACGACCCUCUUCCAUAGAUCAUGCCAAGCCACCGCCGUGCAAUUUUGAUCCUCCCUCUUACAGGAAAGAUCCUCCUUAUGGUCAUAUAAUGACACCUUACCCUCAGUUUGGGGUCCCAUACAAGGAGGAAGGGCAAACUUCUAAAAACAUGUUUCCAAUGGCUCGAUAUCCCCCUGUAUUUCCUAAACACCUUCCUAGCAGGUUGUCGCCUUUGAAAAUAACUCCUCUUCAACAAACUCUCCAUCAAGCACAACAAGCUGGAGAGGACACCUCUGCUUUUUUGGGUUUUCCUGUCAUGCCAAAUGGUAAUGGCCAGAGAGCCUAUUCUACUGUCAAUUUUAAGAUAUUAAAAGAGAUCAAGACAGCCACCGCCCAGUACGGGCCCACAGCUCUUUAUACCCUGUCCUUAUUAGAUAGUGUGGGACUGGACGCCCUCUGUCCAGGAGACUGGAAGGUCAUAGCUCAGGCCUGCCUAUCAGGUGGUAACUAUUUACUUUGGAAAACUGAAUUUUUUGAAAGAGCUAGUGAAAUGGCUACAUAUAAUCGUAGGACAAAUAUUCUGGUUUCUUAUGAAAUGCUAAUUGGAGGGAUCCCUGGGUGGCGCAGCGGUUUGGCGCCUGCCUUUGGCCCAGGACGUGAUCCUGGAGACCCGAGAUCGAAUCCCACAUCGGGCUCCCGAUGCAUGGAGCCUGCUUCUCCCUCUGCCUGUGUCUCUGCCUCUCUCUCUCUCUCCGUGACUAUCAUAAAUAAAUAA